UGCUAGCCUCGGACGUACCCGACGAGACGCGCCGUACCGGGUCAGGACAAGACGACGCACC
rnacentral:ncRNA from 1 species